rnacentral:snRNA from 1 species
AUCACUUCUCGGUCUUUUGGCUAAGAUCAAGUGUAGUAUCUGUUCUUAUCCGUUUAAUAUCUGAUACCCCAGAUGAAAAAAU